AUUGAACGCUGGCGGCAGGCCUAACACAUGCAAGUCGAGCGGCAGCGGGAAAGUAGCUUGCUACUUUUGCCGGCGAGCGGCGGACGGGUGAGUAAUGCCUGGGGAUCUGCCCAAUCGAGGGGGAUAACUACUGGAAACGGUAGCUAAUACCGCAUACGCCCUACGGGGGAAAGCAGGGGACCUUCGGGCCUUGCGCGAUUGGAUGAAACCAGGUGGGAUUAGCUAGUUGGUGAGGUAAUGGCUCACCAAGGCGACGAUCCCUAGCUGGUCUGAGAGGAUGAUCAGCCACACUGGAACUGAGACACGGCACAGAGUCCUACGGGAGGCAGCAGUGGGGAAUAUUGCACAAUGGGGGAAACCCUGAUGCAGCCAUGCCGCGUGUGUGAAGAAGGCCUUCGGGUUGUAAAGCACUUUCAGCGAGGAGGAAAGGUUGGUAGCUAAUAACUGCCAGCUGUGACGUUACUCGCAGAAGAAGCACCGGCUAACUCCGUGCCAGCCGCCGCGGUAAUAC
rnacentral:rRNA from 1 species